AGUGAACGCUGGCGGUAGGCCUAACACAUGCAGGUCGAACGGCAGCACAGUAAGAGCUUGCUCUUACGGGUGGCGAGUGGCGGACGGGUGAGGAAUACAUCGGAAUCUACUUUUUCGUGGGGGAUAACGUAGGGAAACUUACGCUAAUACCGCAUACGACCUACGGGUGAAAGCAGGGGAUCUUCGGACCUUGCGCGAUUGAAUGAGCCGAUGUCGGAUUAGCUAGUUGGCGGGGUAAAGGCCCACCAAGGCGACGAUCCGUAGCUGGUCUGAGAGGAUGAUCAGCCACACUGGAACUGAGACACGGUCCAGACUCCUACGGGAGGCAGCAGUGGGGAAUAUUGGACAAUGGGCGCAAGCCUGGUCCAGCCAUACCGCGUGGGUGAAGAAGGCCUUCGGGUUGUAAAGCCCUUUUGUUGGGAAAGAAAAGCAGCAGGUUAAUACCCCGCUGUUCUGACGGUACCCAAAGAAUAAGCACCGGCUAACUUCGUG
rnacentral:rRNA from 1 species